rnacentral:misc_RNA from 1 species
GAUGAAGAACGCAGCGAAAUGCGAUAGGUAAUGUGAAUUGCAGAAUUCAGUGAAUCAUCGAAUCUUUGAACGCACAUUGCGCCCCUUGGUAUUCCGAGGGGCAUGCCUGUUCGAGCGUCAUUAUAACCCCUCAAGCUCAGCUUGGUGUUGGGGCCUGCCGCACGGGCAGCCCUUAAAAUCAGUGGCGGUGCCAUCUGGCUCUAAGCGUAGUAAUUCUUCUCGCUAUAGAGUCCCGGUGGAUGCUUGCCAUUAACCCCCAAUUUUCUAUGGUUGACCUCGGAUCAGGUAGGGAUACCCGCUGAACUUAAGCAUAUCAAUAAGCGGAGGA